GUGCUUGCUUCAGCAGCGCACAUACCAAAAUUGGAAUGAUACUGAGAAGAUUAGCAUGGCCCCUGCAUAAGGAUGACACGUAAAUUCAUAAAGUGUUCCAUAUUUUA